AUCCAAAUAGCUUAUAUUUAGAGUGCAACAUUGAAGAUGUUGAUGUGGUUUCUGUACCUUUGGAUA
rnacentral:tRNA from 1 species